ensembl:lncRNA
CAAUCAACUACAGUGACGCCAGCUUGAACGAAGCCCGGAGCUCCCUGGCAACCAAUUACUGCCUUCACCCAUGAUGCCCAGGUCUACAUGAGGGGCCAGCUGCAAUGCCAGGCUGUGCAAGAGGGGGCAUUAUGGGAAAGGUUAGCUGAAACCAAAGCAAACGUUGUCAGAUGACUUUGAUACGCCAAGGGUCGUCAACGCCAUCAUGAGCCUUGUUUACCAUGGGAACCGCCAUCUUCAGCCCAUCACUAAGGAGGCUCAUUCUGUAGAUUCUUCGGGGACCCUAGAGAACGUGGUGGAGCAGUUGGCUCGGUUCCGUCGCGAUGUGCGGGCCUUUGCUUUGUCCGUGGAAGACGCCCCUUGGAUAGCCCACUCAUGCCAGUCCAAGACCACACUCAGAAAGGGUACCCCUCCUCAAAGCCUGCAACACCCUGCGGGAAAGACUUUGCACCUUUGGGAGUACACAAGGGUUAGUGUGUGUGUAGGUCAGUUGGAGCCUCCUCAAAGGAGGAAGGGGGAAGACGAUCCUACUCAGUGAAUUUCAUAAAAAUAGUGAAACUUUAAGUUACCCUUUUUAGAAAAUCUAUACUAAAUAUAUGCACAUCAAAUAACUGAUUUAAAACUCACCGUUUUGAAAUGAAGGUCUACAGUAGCCUCAACAGCGUUCUGUCGGGUAGCACCAUUGUGUAGCCGGAGGACAGCUAUUUUUUGUCAUCUGGGUACAUUGACUUCAAUACAAAACCUAGGACGCUCAUGGUUCUCACCCCCUUCCAUAGACUUACACAAUAAUUACAAUGACUUCCAGAGGACGUCCUCCAACAUAUCAGAGCUCUUGCAAUAUGAACUGACACGUUAUCCUACCAAUCAAAAGAGUGUGGAUAUUUACAAGCUAAAAUGAAUGAGAUUUUGGUAGUAAGACACCCAAUGGGCUUUUUACAUUUUUAGUGCCCCCUUGUAUGCUAAGCCGGUAAUACCAUAAAUCCUGGAAUGGUAGAAGAACCGUAUGAAAAUCGGGAUAACGCCCAAGCUUUACUGUACUGCGUGAUUGUAGCGGGUUUACUAACAUGUUACUUCUAGUAGCUAUGUUGACUAUUAUUUUUAUUUAUUUUUUACCUUUUAUUUAACUAGGCAGGUCAGUUGAGAACAAAUUCUUAUUUUCAAUGACAGCCUAGGAACAGUGGGUUAACUGCCUUGUUCAGGGGCAGAACAACAUAUUUUUACCUUGUCAGCUUGGGGAUUCGAUCUCGCAACCUUUCGGUUACUAGUCCAACACUCUAACCACUAGGCUACCUGCCGCUUUAGCUAAAAUGGUGACAAUGAUGUGGGCUGUGCUGUUUUUUUCGCUGGGUCACAGACAGCUGUUGUGCUCCAAAGUCCCCAAGUGAAGGUGAGAGGAGGAGAGCGCAUAGAUGCGGGAAGGAAUUAUUAAUCCAGUGAGGAUGAUGUAUGCAUGUGGCUGCUAUGAAAGUGAACUGUGUGUGGGGGUAAUCAGGGCUGUAUUCAUUCUACCAAUUAUGUUGCAAAAUGUUUCUUAAACGGAAGUAAACGAGAUGGACCGACCUGCAAUAGAAACUCUUGUUUUGGUUGCAAAACUGAACAACUGUUUGGAAUAAUGAUUACACCCUAGAUCCGCUAGAUGCAGGCAAGAGUUUGCAAGGCGGUAUUGAAUGUGUCACUGCCACCUUUGUCUCUAAACCUCCUGUGCACCUACGUUAAUACGUUAUAAACUUAUAUAUGUAGGUUAGGUUGUAGCAACCUCAUGAUGGGUAUAGGGCAAAUUCGAGUAUCAUGUUGAUCGAUGUUACAUUAAGCUGGGUGAAUAGAAUAUGAAGCACUGGAUUACCUCUUUCAUUUCACAUUUAAUAGUCAGAUUUCCUUUAGGCAAGUAAUAUUUGAAUACAUUUUUUUUUUUCAUGUUUACAUUUCCUCAAGUAAACCAUAGGAUAAAACUAAUCCAAGAAGUUGAACACUUGGAUACUUUAUGCCAUCUAGUGUCUCUAAAAAUACAUGUAGCUCUCUUAACAACAACAGACACAGGUUGGUUCCUUGAAACGGGCGAUUAUUGCCUUGCACGUCUUUUUCUCUGAUGCAUCCACGUCACGCCGUGAGAACUAUAUCUUUGAAUGAACACAGUAACGUUGAUAAAUUAUACAGUACUGAAACAAAGGAAUGCAAAUGGCGCUCGGCGCAACAAUGCAAAUGGCGCUCGGCGCGACUAUAAACAGAGUUUUAUAGGCAGAGGCUAAGAAAGACAGUAAAGGGACUUUCAAGGGACUUUAAGGAUUCAAGAACCUCUUUUCAGGACAAGCAGCCAACUUGUAGACUUGUCAGUUUCUGGCAGGGUAUGACUGUUGACAUUGUGGACAGCCGCAAACUGACAUUCUCUUUGUUUGUGUUGAGGUAUUGGGCCACUUCAUCUAGGAUAAAAGUCGUAUCGCUUUGCGUGUCUAAGAGCGCGUAGACGAGAACUUCUUGAUCUGGCUGUUUUGUGGAUGAGACCCAGACUGGUAUGAUUGAGGACGUUUGUGUGCUUAGGCCUUCUUGUAUGACUCU